AGUGAACGCUGGCGGUAGGCCUAACACAUGCAAGUCGAACGGCAGCACAGUAAGAGCUUGCUCUUACGGGUGGCGAGUGGCGGACGGGUGAGGAAUACAUCGGAAUCUACUUUUUCGUGGGGGAUAACGUAGGGAAACUUACGCUAAUACCGCAUACGACCUACGGGUGAAAGCAGGGGAUCUUCGGACCUUGCGCGAUUGAAUGAGCCGAUGUCGGAUUAGCUAGUUGGCGGGGUAAAGGCCCACCAAGGCGACGAUCCGUGGCUGGUCUGAGAGGAUGAUCAGCCACACUGGAACUGAGACACGGUCCAGACUCCUACGGGAGGCAGCAGUGGGGAAUAUUGGACAAUGGGCGCAAGCCUGAUCCAGCCAUACCGCGUGGGUGAAGAAGGCCUUCGGGUUGUAAAGCCCUUUUGUUGGGAAAGAAAAGCAGCAGGUUAAUACCCCGCUGUUCUGACGGUACCCAAAGAAUAAGCACUGGCUAACUUCGUG
rnacentral:rRNA from 1 species